rnacentral:misc_RNA from 1 species
AAUCCUCAAAACCCGUUCUUCAAUUGGGGAAAGGGUUUUGGACUUGGAGGAUCGAUGCUUGCCCUCACUUUGAAGGCGAGCUCCUCUCAAAUAAAUUAGUGGGGUUUGCUUUGCUGAUCCUUGACGGUGAUAAGACAUCUCUACGUUUUGGAUUUGGCGACUGUCCCUUGCUUCUAACCGUCCUAUGGACAAUGAUGGGUGCACCGGUCCACCGCCUUACAUUGGUGGGGGGCUGGACCCACAAUAAAAAGGA